GAUGAACGCUGGCGGCGUGCUUAACACAUGCAAGUCGAACGGAAAGGCUCCUGCUUGCAGGGGUACUCGAGUGGCGAACGGGUGAGUAACACGUGGGUGAUCUGCCCUGCACUUCGGGAUAAGCCUGGGAAACUGGGGCUAAUACCGGAUAGGACGAUGGUUUGGAUGCCAUUGUGGAAAGUUUUUUCGGUUUGGGAUGAGCUCGCGGCCUAUCAGCUUGUUGGUGGGGUAAUGGCCUACCAAGGCGUCGACGGGUAGCCGGCCUGAGAGGGUGUACGGCCACAUUGGGACUGAGAUACGGCCCAGACUCCUACGGGAGGCAGCAGUGGGGAAUAUUGCACAAUGGGCGCAAGCCUGAUGCAGCGACGCCGCGUGGGGGAUGACGGCCUUCGGGUUGUAAACUCCUUUCGCUAGGGACGAAGCGCAAGUGACGGUACCUGGAGAAGAAGCACCGGCUAACUACGUG
rnacentral:rRNA from 1 species